AUUGCCUUAGUAACUGCGAGUGAAGCGGCAAAAGCUCAAAUUUGAAAUCUGACGUUUUUGACGUCCGAGUUGUAAUUUGGAGGGAUAUCUUCGGAGCUGACACCGUCCUAAGUUCUUUGGAACCAGACAUCAUAGAGGGUGAGAAUCCCGUGCCUGGAUGACUGUCCUGCUCCAUGUGAAGUGUCUCCGACGAGUCGAGUUGUUUGGGAAUGCAGCUCAAAAUGGGUGGUAAAUUUCAUCUAAAGCUAAAUAUUGGCGAGAGACCGAUAGCGCACAAGUAGAGUGAUCGAAAGAUGAAAAGCACUUUGAAAAGAGAGUUAAAUAGUACGUGAAAUUGUUGAAAGGGAAGCGCUUGAGACUUCAUUCAGCUGACAGUCUUCACCCACAUUUUUAUGUGGUGCACUUCACUGUCGGUUGGGCCAGCAUCGAUUCUGACGACGGGAUAAAGGUUUCAGGAAUGUGGCUCCCUAAUUAUGGGGAGUGUUAAAGCCUGGAGCGUAAUGCCGCCAGUUGGGAUCGAGGAGAUGCGCGUAAUGGCAAGGAUGCUGGCAGAAAGGUCUUAAGCGGCCCGUCUUGAAACACGGACCAAGGAGUCUAACAUCUAUGCAAGUGUUCGGGUGGAAAACCCUUGCGCGUAAUGAAAGUGAAUGUAGGUGAGAUCUCUGUUCUUAGUCAUCAAUGUGAAGCAUCACCGACCGAUCCCGAUGUUUACGGAAGGAUUUGAGUAGGAGCAUAGAUGUUGGGACCCGAAAGAUGGUGAACUAUGCCUGAAUAGGGUGAAGCCAGAGGAAACCUUGGUGGAAGCUCGCAGCGGUUCUGACGUGCAAAUCGAUCGUCAAAUUUGGGUAUAGGGG
rnacentral:rRNA from 1 species